UGGGGAAUAUUGGGCAAUGGGCGCAAGCCUGACCCAGCGACGCCGCGUGAGGGAAGACAGCCUUCGGGUUGUAAACCUCUGUUGCAGGGGAAGAAGGAAGUGACGGUACCCUGCGAGGAAGCUCCGGCUAACUACGUGCCAGCAGCCGCGGUAAUACGUAGGGAGCGAGCGUUGUCCGGAAUUACUGGGCGUAAAGGGCGCGUAGGCGGCGCUUCAAGUCGUCUGUCAAAAGCCGAGGCUCAACCUCGGCGCGCAGACGAAACUGGAGAGCUUGAGAAGCAGAGAGGCAAACAGAAUUCCUGGUGUAGCGGUGAAAUGCGUAGAUAUCAGGAAGAAUACCAGUGGCGAAGGCGGUUUGCUGGCUGCAUACUGACGCUGAAGCGCGAAAGCCAGGGGAGCAAACG
rnacentral:rRNA from 1 species